GUUGGGAUAACUGGGUCGAAUGGUGAUUCCAUUCCUAGUUUUUUGAGGAAUCUCCAUACUGCUUUCCAGAGUGGUUGCACCAACUUGCAGUCCUACCAGUUAU
rnacentral:pre_miRNA from 1 species